rnacentral:rRNA from 1 species
GAUGAACGCUAGCGGCAGGCCUAACACAUGCAAGUCGAGGGGUAGAACACUUCGGUGUUUGAGACCGGCGCACGGGUGCGUAACGCGUAUGCAAUCUACCUUAUACAGGGGAAUAGCCCAGAGAAAUUUGGAUUAAUGCCCCAUAGCAUUACGACUUGGCAUCAAGAUGUAAUUAAAGUUCCAACGGUAUAAGAUGAGCAUGCGUCCCAUUAGUUAGUUGGUAAGGUAACGGCUUACCAAGACGAUGAUGGGUAGGGGUCCUGAGAGGGAGAUCCCCCACACUGGUACUGAGACACGGACCAGACUCCUACGGGAGGCAGCAGUGAGGAAUAUUGGUCAAUGGUCGCAAGACUGAACCAGCCAUGCCGCGUGCAGGAAGACGGUCCUAUGGAUUGUAAACUGCUUUUAUACAGGAAGAAACCCUCCCACGUGUGGGAGCUUGACGGUACUGUAGGAAUAAGGAUCGGCUAACUCCGUGCCAGCAGCCGCGGUAAAAC